rnacentral:rRNA from 1 species
GUGAGUCAUCGAAUCUUUGAACGCACCUUGCACUCCUUGGUAUUCCGAGGAGCAUGCCUGUUUGAGUGUCAUUAAAUUCUCAACCUUCCAGCUUUUAUUCGCUUGGUUAGGCUUGGAUGUGGGGUUGCGGGCUUCUUUAUUGAGGUCCGCUCUCCUUAAAUGCAUUAGCGGAACUUUCGUGGACCGUCUAUUGGUGUGAUAAUUAUCUAUGCCAUGGAUGUAAAGCAGCUUUAUAAAGUUCACCUUCUAAUUGUCCAUUGACUUGGACAAUUUUAUGACAAUUUGACCUCAAAUCAGGGAGGACUACCUGCUGAACUUAAGCAUAUCAAUAAGCGGAGG